rnacentral:tRNA from 1 species
AUUAUAAUUAUAUAAAUAUAUUAAGCUUCUAACUUAAUUAA